rnacentral:rRNA from 1 species
UGCGCAGGCGGGACUGCAAGUUGGAUGUGAAAUUCUGAGGCUCAACCUCAGACCUGCAUCCAAAACUGUGGUUCUUGAGUGGAGCAGAGGUAAGCGGAAUUCCGAGUGUAGCGGUGAAAUGCGUAGAUAUUCGGAGGAACACCAGUGGCGAAGGCGGCUUACUGGGCUCUAACUGACGCUGAGGCACGAAAGCAUGGGUAGCAAACA